UACGUAGGGCGCAAGCGUUGUCCGGAAUUAUUGGGCGUAAAGAGCUCGUAGGCGGUUUGUCGCGUCUGCUGUGAAAUCCCGAGGCUCAACCUCGGGCUUGCAGUGGGUACGGGCAGACUAGAGUGCGGUAGGGGAGACUGGAAUUCCUGGUGUAGCGGUGGAAUGCGCAGAUAUCGGGAGGAACACCAGUGGCGAAGGCGGUUGCCUGGAGCUUUGCUGACGCUGAUGCGCGAAAGCGUGGGGAGCGAUCCGG
rnacentral:rRNA from 1 species